CCUACGGGAGGCAGCAGUGAGGAAUAUUGGUCAAUGGGCGCGAGCCUGAACCAGCCAAGUCGCGUGAGGGAAGACGGUCCUAUGGAUUGUAAACCUCUUUUAUCGGGGAGCAAAAGACGCCACGCGUGGCUUUCCGAGAGUACCCUAAGAAAAAGCAUCGGCUAACUCCGUGCCAGCAGCCGCGGUAAUACGGAGGAUGCGAGCGUUAUCCGGAUUUAUUGGGUUUAAAGGGUGCGCAGGCGGAAGAUCAAGUCAGCGGUAAAAUUGAGAGGCUCAACCUCUUCGAGCCGUUGAAACUGGUUGUCUUGAGUGAGCGAGAAGUAGGCGGAAUGCGUGGUGUAGCGGUGAAAUGCAUAGAGAUCACGCAGAACUCCGAGUGCGAAGGCAGCAUACUGGCGCUCAACUGACGCUCAUGCACGAAAGUGUGGGUAUCGAACAGGAUUAGAUACCCGAGUAGUC
rnacentral:rRNA from 1 species